rnacentral:rRNA from 1 species
UACAGAGGUCCCGAGCGUUGUUCGGAUUCAUUGGGCGUAAAGGGUGCGUAGGCGGCUGGGUAAGUUUGAUGUGAAAUCCUGGGGCUCAACCCUGGAACUGCAUUGAAUACUGCUCGGCUAGAGUACUGGAGAGGAAACUGGAAUUUACGGUGUAGCAGUGAAAUGCGUAGAGAUCGUAAGGAAGACCAGUGGCGAAGGCGGAGUUUCUGGACAGUUACUGACGCUGAGGCACGAAGGCCAGGGGAGCAAACGGG